GAAUAUGGUUACUUAUAGCUAGACGAAAUCACAAUGCAUAUGGUCGUCCGUGACAUUUUCAUGAUUAAUUUUUUUUUUUUUUCCAAACAAUGGGCAUAAAUUUCCAGCUAUUAUAUAAUUAUAUUACAGGAGGGUUCCAAUUGAACAGUUCUUGAAUCCUAUUGGUUGUUUUUUUUUUUUCUAAUUUUGCUUUAAGUGAUGAUUUUCUUAUUCUGCUUUAAGUAUCUUAAGUGAUACUGAUGGAUGUUGGCUACGUGUCCUGUGUUUUCCACAUACUCUGCUCCUUAUCCUUACACGUCUCAUUCACCGCUCAAACCAAUCCACCGCUGGCCUCCUCGAACCUUCUUCUACCUUUCUUCAGUUUACCACCACUGCUAUUGCUUCAAUAUGCGUUCCACCGAAUCUUUCUAUGAUGCAUCUCACCGCCACCAUCAAUUUAUUCUCCUAUCGGAAGCAUCCUAAUCCCCUAAUACGUUUCUAAGAACCGUAAGUUUUCCGGCAAUCUCAUCACUGUCCACCUUCCCCCACCGUAUGUUCUGAUAAUCCAAGGUUAAGGCACCGCCUUAUUCUUCCAAUCAGAUUUCUGCCUUUCCACCGCUUCAUUCUUCACCGAUGUAUAUCAUCGCGCGACUUCCAAUUCUUUCAACAUCAAAACCGCUCUUCGUAUUCUCCGGUCGUGAAGUCGGCAACACGAUGACGACUGUCACUCAUCAUCUCCACACGUCUGCAAGUGCUGAGUUAAAAUUCUGCACUUGAAGCUAUCAAUUUUGAUUUUUCUGUAUUCUUCAAGCAGCUGGACCACAAAGACCACUAUGCACCUCCCUCCCUGUGACGACGUCGGAAAGGAAAGCCAUCAUAGUAAACAUGGGUUUCCGUUAUCAGAAUCGAGGGUGGUGGUGGUGAUUGCUGUAGCGAUCAAUGGAGGCGGUUAAAAGGAUAUUGAACGGAACUCUGUAGGGUGAUGUCCAGUACAAUGAACUGACAGAAGAAUGUAAUGGCUGUUGGAUUCAAUUGACAAAUGGCACAGAUAGGAAGAUGAAAGCUUCCAAGAAUGUAUUUGAUGUAAUUAUUGAUAAUGAUAAUACUUGGUUCAAUACAGUUCACAUUUAUGGAAUAAAGAGUUUUCUUGGUAUUUCAGAUUGGGUAUCCACCACUCUUAGAUGCAACUACACUUCUGUUUUGGGCACAAGUAGCACAAGAAUAUGGUGAAGAAUUGAGCGACUUCUGACUCAGGUUUUAGUCAUUUUACAGCAGUAGGCGAACAAAAGUACAAAACUUGAAGAGGCAAAAUCAGAUGACCAAUCCAUGGGAGACAACCUGACAUUCAUGAGCGGAUCAAUCCAUAGGAGAAUCGCAACUUACAAAUGUCUUAUGAAAGAAACAUGCACAUACUAGAUGAACUUUACCUUCCGAUUAACAAAUGAAUGAACCAUGUAUCGUUAGCUCCUGUUGACGAUGGUUUAAUCCAAAUCUAACCCCCCACUACGCCGGGGCUCUUUUCUAGUUUUCUUUAAAACAAUCAGAGAAUUUGGUUAAAUUAUUUUUUUUUCUUUUAUUUUUUUAUUUAUUAUUUUUAAAAAUUACUAAUUUGAUUUUUUAAUUAUUUUAAAAAUACUCAUUAUUAGGACAAUUUUUUAAGAGUAAGUUGUAAAUUUGAUCCCCAGGAUUCACAAACAAUUAUGGAUAUAAUGUAAAAUCUUUUCAACUUGCACCAUUAGUCUAAAAUGAAAUUUUUUUGUUUUUUUUGGUUUUGAUCGAUGAAAAAGUUGAAAAGACUGUUUUAUCUUUUUUUUUUGUAU